UGAUGAUGAUGAUGAUGAUGAUGAUGAUGAUGAUGAUGAUGAUGAUGAUGAUGAUGUUGAUCAUCAUCACCACUACCACCACCACAACCCCCAUCAUCAUUGUCAUCGUCAUCCUCAUCACUAUCAUCAGCA
rnacentral:pre_miRNA from 1 species